AAAGUCAUCCCCUGAUUUGUGAAGGUGGAGAAAAGAAAGGAAAGAAAGAAAAACUUUACCAGACAGUAAAACAACUCAUAAACCUGUCAGGAGUAAUUCCAGCAGCUGUGGUGGAAAUGAAAGGCAGUUGCAGACACCUUGGGCCUUUCCGUGGCAGGGAGCUGCACUGACUAAGAAAGGCCACAAGCUGUGACUGGAAUGGUGGAAAGGAACAGAGUUUUUAGACUGCAGAACCUUAACCAACUUAGCCUCAGCUUUGCAGGGCUGUGCUGUGAGAGCAACUUGAACUUGAGAGCGAAAUCCUCUAAUUAAGAGGCAAUUACAAAGAACUUCUGCUUGGAUCAUAUGUGAAGCAGCAAGAACCUCAAAUGAGACAGCUCUGAGCCCCUUGGAUCUCCAGAGGGACCAGGAAGUGGUGGGGGCAAGCAAGUCUUGGAUUAACGGAUGACCUUCCUGAAGGUUCGUGCGAGGAGUGACAUUCCUCUCCUGUGACUCUCCAGUUUUGUCAAAAUUAUCCAACGAUUCCACUUGACUUCACACGGGAACAAUGCUCAGGCUACAAAACAAUUGGAACAGAGUUCAUGCACAGGCUACACACUCGCAUCACCUCAGGAUAGCUGCUUCUCCUGCCACACCACAUCCUCUGACUUUCACCCUAUCCUACACUAUUAUCCAGUUAGACACAGAAUACUUGAGGGCACAGUCUCCAGCACCGUUCUAGACAACUUAGCAGAGAGAGGGUGUCUAGGCUGAACCUUCAAAUAGAGUGCAGCUGUUAGUUCUAACCUGGGUUUGAAAGAGCACCGGGUGCCUGCUGGGUGUUCUGGCUGUCUGCUGAAGUACAGGGUGCCUGCUGGGAGCAUGGAUGUCUGUCGAGAGGAUGGGGUGUCUGCUCAGAGCACAAAGUGACAGCUUGGAGCACAGAGUGUCUGCUGGGAGCACCACGUGUUGGAAGCAUGAGGUGUCUGCUGGAAGCUCAAGGUGUCUGCCUGGAGCUCAAGAUGUCUCCUGGGAGCACAGGGUGUCUAUUGUGGGCACAGGGUGACUGCUUAUAACACAGGGAGUCUGCUGGGAGCACGAGGUGUCUGUUGAGAGGAUGGGGUGUCUGCUCAGAGCCGUCCACUCUGUAAAAACUGUUCUGUUUCUAACCUGUUGGGCUGAAGAGACAUUCAAAGGUUUCCAUGUGAAUCCUAAAUCCCAAUUUAUUUUUCAAAUAGGUGAACAUUACUGAGACUAUACUCUGGACACCCUAGUCCAUUGUGUCAGUUACCAGGAGGACAAACACUCCGAAUAACUUGUACUAUUUUUCUUUAGCUCCUACUGCAUGUAUAAGUUUGUGGGCAGUGGCUGUCACAGGGCUAUGGCUUUGUCAAAAGAAAAAGAAGGAUAAAUGGAGAUUUGGCAAAUUAUUUUUUUAUCUAACAUGGCAAAUAUAGUGGUCACUUGACAGGUGCAUUAUCUGCCUUAUCAGUCAAAUGUGCUACACUGGAUUGCUACACUGGAUUGAUGUGAGCUGUGAGCCAGCAAAUCCUUCACCUCCAACAGCUGACAUGGCAAGAGAAUGAAGAAGAAUCUAGUUUAUGACAGGAAAAAAGAGGCAACAGUUCUGAGUUCAAGACUAUCUUAAGGAACUAGAGGCACUGAGCUUUACUAGGCAGGGUAAAGUAAAAUAAAUAAAUAAAUAAAUAAAUAAAACUCCUUGACUUAACUUAGAUACUCCUGUGUUGUUCUUUUCUUUUUUCUUUCUUUCUUUACUUUUUUUUUUUUUUUCCGAGACAGGGUUUCUCUGUAUUGUUUUAGAGGCUGUCCUGGGACUUGAUCUAUAGACCAGGCUGGUCUUGAACUCACAGAGAUCCACCUGCCUCUGCCUCCUGAGUGCUGGGAUUAAAGGCAUGUGCCACCAAUGCCCAGCUCUCCUGUGUUGUUCUUAUCUAAGAUGUUCUAUUUACCAGUAAAGACUCAGGAGUUAGAUAUUGGUGUGAAAACAUACUAAAUCAGAGAAGCCAAG
rnacentral:lncRNA from 1 species